CACUGGCCCCUCAGAGAGACAGGUCCUAACACUGGCCCCUCAGAGAGACAGUUCCUAACACUGGCCCCUCAGAGAGACAGGUCCAACACUGGCCCCUCAGAGAGACAGGUCCUAAACUGGCCCCUCAGAGAGACAGGUCCUAACACUGGCCCCUCAGAGAGACAGGUCCUAACCCAGGCCCUAACACUGGCCCCAACCAUUUCUAAACCAUGGGCAUGUUCAGGAGGAUAUAAAGUUACAGAACAUUCAGAUAGAAAUAUAUAAUGUAGAACAGAUAUGAUUGUCUGUCAGAUGGAAUAGGGGGGGGGGGAUCAGGUGUCAGCUCUAUUCACACUAUUUAUAUCUGAAACAUUCACAAAGUUUCACAUCACUGACUGAAUAAACCCCAGGCCUGCUCUUUACUCCUCUGUGAUGACGUGCUCCCACGUCACCUUGGCCUGCUCUUUAGUCCUCUGUGAUGACGUGCUCCC
rnacentral:lncRNA from 1 species